AGGUACACGCAGCCGGCCGGCUUUGGCCGGGGUAGGAAUGGCCUGGAUAACUGGGGCAUCGCGGCGCUUCUCGGACUCCUGCAGCUGCGUUUCAAACCAGAGCCGACCCUUGGUAGCUCAUCAAUUCAAGUGUAUGAAAAGUUUAACGUAACUUUUCAAUGGAAAAAGAUCACCAUCUUUGACAAGCUAUACCUACUAAAAGAUGUGAAGUAGACACCUAUAUUCCAUGACUCAACUGUAAAGAGAACAGAAAGCUCCAGUCAUAGGAGAAAAAAAUAAAAUAAAACUGCUAUUAAAAUUGAAGGCCAAA